UGGGGAAUAUUGGACAAUGGGCGCAAGCCUGAUCCAGCCAUGCCGCGUGAGUGAUGAAGGCCCUAGGGUUGUAAAGCUCUUUCACCGGUGAAGAUAAUGACGGUAACCGGAGAAGAAGCCCCGGCUAACUUCGUGCCAGCAGCCGCGGUAAUACGAAGGGGGCUAGCGUUGUUCGGAUUUACUGGGCGUAAAGCGCACGUAGGCGGACUUUUAAGUCAGGGGUGAAAUCCCGGGGCUCAACCCCGGAACUGCCUUUGAUACUGGAAGUCUUGAGUAUGGUAGAGGUGAGUGGAAUUCCGAGUGUAGAGGUGAAAUUCGUAGAUAUUCGGAGGAACACCAGUGGCGAAGGCGGCUCACUGGACCAUUACUGACGCUGAGGGGCGAAAGCGUGGGGAGCAAACAGG
rnacentral:rRNA from 1 species